GAGAAAUAGAAUUACACAGAAUUAGAAUAUUUAUUCUAACUUUAUAUUAUUACCUUAAUGUUCCACCGUAUGCACAGGCUAGAAAAAGUCCAGGAAAACCAGGAAGAUCCCGAAAAAUGUCCAAUACCAAAUAAGGCAUGUACUGUAAGCAGAUUUACAGUGUGUCAGUGUGGCGGUGUUGAUUCAACAGACUGAUACAGAGAAAGGAGAUGUAGCGCUGCACCUGAGCCUGAUUUGCUGAGUACAUGGAUAACCACACCAUCGUCCCUCCGACUGUAAAGCUCCAAAACGAGUACCGCUGGCGAGGAUCCAGACCAAAACUGACCGAGAGUGAAAGAGGACGCAGCAACAUGAUGAGUGCAGGAGCGAGGAUAACAAUGCCAGUGUAUAGUAGCUGGCAACAAACAACAGGAACAAACAAUAAUAAAUAAACAUGGUGUAAACAUCACUCUGUGUG